rnacentral:sRNA from 1 species
UUUAGGCUUAGGCUUAGGCUUAGGACUCGGCUUGGAUUUUGGCUUAGGCUUA